CCACGCCGUAAACGAUGAGUGCUAGGUGUCGGGGGUCAAACCUCGGUGCCGACGUUAACACAUUAAGCACUCCGCCUGGGGAGUACGUGCGCAAGCAUGAAACUCAAAGGAAUUGACGGGGACCCGCACAAGCAGCGGAGCAUGUGGUUUAAUUCGUGGCUACGCGAAGAACCUUACCAGGGCUUGACAUCCUCUGACCGCCUAAGAGAUUAGGUUUCCCUUCGGGGCAGAGAGACAGGUGGUGCAUGGUUGU
rnacentral:rRNA from 1 species